GGUAAGAAGGAGGUGGAAUUGACUGGAAAGGGGCACAAGAGAACUCACUGGGAUGUUGAAAAGUUUUUGAAAUUGAUUUGGGUGGUUGUUUACAUGUGUGUAUGCAAUUGUCAAACCCCAGUGAACCACAAAGACGGGCGCGUUUCACAGUCUUCAAAUUAUGCCUCAAUUAAUCAGUUAGUGGACAGUGCUUGAGAUCAGCAGGAUAAAGCUCGUUUCUAUCCAAGCACACUUGCUGCAUCUUCACUCGUCCCUGACCAGAUCCCAGUGGCCCAGUGGACUCCCCUUUCCGGCACUGACAUGAGGGAGAAUAAGUUCUUGAAAACUGCUAAAUCAUCCUAGGUUGGUUUGAGUUACCAAAGUGGGCAGAAUAAAUGUUAUUUCUCCAAAAAAGUGGACUCAGAAUCAAGUGAUGUCUGGACAGCGUUCAUGGUCAUCUGCUGUCACAUGCGGUUACAUUUUGUAAUCCAGAUGUAUCCAUUUCUGAGAAGCAUUUCUAAGAGCCAUGAAACCACGUGGCAAAGGAGGAGAAGAAGCAGAUGAAGAGGUGCAAGGAAGAAAAUCCGGCCUCAUUUCGGACAAAUGAAUAUGUCCAGAAUUGGAAAUUCACAUGCGGGAGAAUUAAGUGAUAAUUCUCACAAUGUGUUCACAAUAAGUGCUCACAGUAAGUGUUCAUUGAAUUUAAUAAAGUGCUUUCCCA
rnacentral:lncRNA from 1 species